rnacentral:rRNA from 1 species
UACGUAGGGGGCGAGCGUUGUCCGGAUUUACUGGGCGUAAAGGGUGAGUAGGCGGUUAUGUAUGUCAGGUGUAAAAGGCGUAGGCUUAACUUACGUUAGCACUUGAAACUGCAUAACUUGAGUGCAGGAGAGGUAAGUGGAAUUCCUAGUGUAGCGGUGAAAUGCGUAGAUAUUAGGAGGAACACCAGUGGCGAAGGCGACUUACUGGACUGUAACUGACGCUGAGUCACGAAAGCGUGGGUAGCAAACAGGAUUAGAUACCCUGGUAGUCCACGCUGUAAACGAUGAGUGCUAGGUGUUGGGUAGCGAUAUUCAGUGCCGAAGUAAACACAAUAAGCACUCCGCCUGGGGAGUACGGUCGCAAGACUGAAACUCAAAGGAAUUGACGGGGACCCGCACAAGCAGCGGAGCAUGUGGUUUAAUUCGAAGCAACGCGAAGAACCUUACCAAGGUUUGACAUCCCCUUGACAGAUGCAGAGAUGUGUCCUCCCCUUCUGGGGCAAGGGAGACAGGUGGUGCAUGGUU